UUAAUGAAUGUCAAGAAUAUUAUUGUAAAAAUAAAGAAAAAAAUAAAAAUAAGAAUAUAACAUACUUAACAUAAGAAUACAACGUACUUAACACCUAAGAUGUUUUGAGAUAUUUUUUAAAAGAUAAGAAUUAAACAAAUAUUUAAAUUAAAAUAUAAAGAACAAACAAGCAUCUAACGUAUUCUAAGAUUUUUUUUUUUUUUUCUAUCCAAAUUGAUAACCUAAUAUUAUUAUCGUUCAUUUCAUAAUAAAGCAUUAUCUUCAAAAUGACCUUGAGCCUUAUCAUUGAAAUAGAAUGUUAAUUAGUUAAUUCAAUGAAUCUGCUAUGUAAUUUUCUGAGCUAUCCGAAGAAAUCAUAUCACAUGCAAAACUUAUACGUCAAACGAUCGGGGCGCCAGGCACCAACCUCCACAUCCAUUGAACAAAUUACGUCUUUGUCACGUCAUCAACUUCAAUGUCGAUUAAAGUAAAUAGAAGUCGCGGAUAUUUUAAUUUUCAAAUUAAAACAGCUAGUUAACGAAUUGACGAACCUCGUGUUCACACAAUGCUACCAUCAUGCAUACAUGACGACAUUAAUUAGAUUUCAUUUCAUUUUGUUUUUUUUUUAAUUUUGCUUUGAUUCCCAUCAGAACAUUUGGCAGCUCUUCCGGAAAAUCAUGCUUAUUUUCAGUGAAACUUGAAUUUCUUUAAUACUAAGCGUUUCGUUUCGUUUUGUUUUUGGUUGCCAUGCAUGAAAAACAUUUGGCAACAAAUCCGUAAAACCAUUCUUUCAGUUUUCAUUUGCUUAACGUUCAUGAAAAGAUUUGACAGAAAUUCCGAAAAAUCAUUCACCAAGUGCUUCUUCGUAUAACCCCAAUUCAUAAAAUAGUUACAAUAUUUUGGUAAUACCUAGUAAUGCAAUAUUGUUUGUUUGGUUGGUGCAACAUUAUGCAUUGAUAAACCUAGUAUUCUUUUAGAAUUUAGACUAUAAUCGUUCAUUUAAAGGGAAAAAUAAAAUAAAAACAAAUACGAUGGUAAGUCCAUGUUAUCUUUGAUUUUGCAGAUGCUUAAGUUACUUUUUAAGAAGUUUCAAGCUAAAUGCGAGAAAGUCAAUGUUGUCGUGUAUUAAUUCUAAAAGAAUACUCAUUAAUAAACCAUUCGUUCCGCUUCGAGAUUUCCACUUUCUUUGUUUUCGUCCAUUUUUUGCAAAGAGAAAUUGCAUAUUUUUUUUUAUAUGGAAUUAUUAUCACGUUUUGAUUUCAACUUUCCUUAUCUCGUUUGACGUGUGUAUAUUUUUAUAAUAUAUAGAGUCAAAUUUAUAGUUUUAGUCCAUUCUUAUUUCAUAAUUAACAACCACAGAUCUCCAUUUUGAUCUUAUUGUAAUCUUAUGCGCCACAACAAAUAUUAAUCACAACCUUUGAAAAAAAAAAAAAAAAACUCGCCACAAUCUCAUGCCAACAUACUGAAUCCCAAAUAAAUUAAAGUAAGGGUAAAUGCCAGUUUAAAAAAUCUCUAUAUUUUUAAUUUACGUAUUUGUUUGAUCUCGAUAUUUUAAAAAAAAAUACCUGAAGGCACUACUACUGUUACUAAACUUAUUCUCUUUUUCUUUUACAAUGAUUUAUAAUAAAUCCUUACAACAAUAUACUUAGAGUGUUAAUGAAAAGAAAAAAAUAAUAAAUUACUAUAAUAGCCUUGAAAGUAGCACAAAAAUUUACCUAAAUUCUCAUAUUAUCAUUUUAAUUUUAAGGAUUAAUUUGGAAAAUUAAUU
rnacentral:lncRNA from 1 species